AACGAACGCUGGCGGCGUGUUUAAGACAUGCAAGUCGCACGGGACAACCUGGUAGCAAUACUUCGGUUGUCCAGUGGCGCACGGGUGAGUAACACGUGAAUCACAUGCCCUUGAGAGGGGGAUAGCCCAGGGAAACUUGGAUUAAUACCCCAUGGUCUCGCAAGAGUAAACGGUGGCCGCAAGGCUGUCGCUCAAGGAUUGGUUCGCGCCCUAUCAGCUUGUUGGCGGGGUAACGGCCCACCAAGGCUACGACGGGUACCUGGUUUGAGAGGACGAUCAGGCACACUGGAACUGAGACACGGUCCAGACACCUACGGGUGGCAGCAGUCGAGAAUAAUUCACAAUGGGGGCAACCCUGAUGGUGCAACGCCGCGUGGAGGAUGACGGUCUUCGGAUUGUAAACUCCUGUCAUCCGGGAGCAAGACCUGGCUGUGAAUAGCAGACAGGGUUGAUAGUACCGGAAGAGGAAGGGACGGCUAACUUCGUGCCAGCAGCCGCAGUAACAC
rnacentral:rRNA from 1 species